GCAUUAGUAGCUUAAGGCCAAAGCGUCAGCCUUGUAAGCUGGACAUUGGAGGUUAAAGUCCCCCCUACUGCU
rnacentral:tRNA from 1 species